rnacentral:rRNA from 1 species
AUGUCAAUGUGCAUACUUGACGCUUCGGAUUUCCGCGGAGUCCGCGAGCGCCCCUCCGUCGCCUUCUCCGCCGAGAUCUUGUUUGGCGAGAAACGGCUCAUCCUCGGCACCUUCGACACCGCUGAGCAGGCGGCCCGCGCGUACGACGCGGCGGCGUGCCGCCUCCGGCGGCCGAGACAGGAGAUGAAUUUUCCCGACGUGUCGAGCCAGCGGGCGCAGGAUCUGGCGCCUCUCCUGCGGCUUUUCACCGACGAGGAUCGUCGCGUCCACCAGAGGCGGAUGCAUCGCCUCGCCCUCGCCGAGAUGGACGUGCAAGCCUUGAUGGUGUGGCGCGAACGCUUCCCGCAGAACAUCGUCGACGAACGUCAGUUCUAUGAGCAGAGGAGGACGGAGAGGAAGGCCAGGAGGACGGAGCGAGCCGCCUAUCGGGAGGGCAAGCGUACGCGAAAGCUGACCGCUCAAAUGAGACUGAGGCUGCGAGAAACAUCGGGGUGGGACUUCGCGGACGAGCAUGCUGAUGACGCCUAUAUUCAUACGUCGGAGGAGGACAUUACCGAGUCAGAAUCAGAAAGCGACGAGUAG